rnacentral:rRNA from 1 species
GACGAACGCUGGCGGCGCGCUUAACACAUGCAAGUCGAACGGAAAGGCCUGCUUUCCCUUGUGGAUUGCGGGUACUCGAGUGGCGAACGGGUGAGUAACACGUGAGUGAUCUGCCCCCAACUUGGGUAUAAGCCUGGGAAACUGGGUCUAAUUCCCGAUAGGACUGCAGGGUGGUGCCUGUGGUGGAAAACGAUUUUCUAGUGGUUGGGGAUGAGCUCGCGGCCUAUCAGCUUGUUGGUGGGGUAAUGGCCUACCAGGGCGGGGACGGGUAGCCGGCCGGGGAGGGUGGACGGCCACAUUGGGACGGAGAUACGGCCCAGACUCCUACGGGAGGCAGCAGUGGGGAAGAUUGGACAAGGGGGGGAAGCCUGAUGCAGCGACGCCGCGGGGGGGAUGACGGCCUUCGGGUUGUAAACUCCUUUCGACCGCGAGGAAGCCACCUGGUUGGAAGGGUGGUGACGGUAGUGGUAGAAGAAGCACCGGCUAACUACGUG